UACGUAGGGUGCGAGCGUUUGUCCGGAAUUAUUGGGCGUAAAGGGCUCGUAGGCGGUUUGUCGCGUCGGGAGUGAAAACCAUGGGCUUAACUCAUGGCUUGCUUCCGAUACGGGCAGACUAGAGGUAUGCAGGGGAGAACGGAAUUCCUGGUGUAGCGGUGAAAUGCGCAGAUAUCAGGAGGAACACCGGUGGCGAAGGCGGUUCUCUGGGCAUUACCUGACGCUGAGGAGCGAAAGUGUGGGGAGCGAACAGG
rnacentral:rRNA from 1 species